rnacentral:lncRNA from 1 species
AGUUAAGAUUUCUUUUUAAGACAUAUUAAUGCUGUUUUGAGGAUAUAAGGAAUUUUUUUUAUAGAUUUUGGAGAUUGAAAGGUGCAAUCGAAGGGAUGAUUUUAAGAUCUACAUCUUUUAUAAGAAAAUUUCUAAAUUUAGAGUUUUUAUGAAGGAAUUAUAAAGCAUUGAAGAAAGCACAUGUAAUUCAAAAGCAAUAAAUUAGUUGUUUCGUUGAUAGUAAUGGUUGGAGCCAUAUCUUGAGUUUUUAGAUGAAAUUUUGGCUCAAAAUUUCUAAAAAUGUAUGUUAUUAGGUUAAAAAGCUAUAUAUCAAAAUUUUAUGGUAUUUAAGUAUUUAAUUUAUGUGAUAUGAAGAAAAUUACACAUGAGUAUAUGUAAGUAAGGAUUUUGGCAAUAUCUCAAGAUUUAUAAAAAAAUUAUGAUUGAAAUUUAUUUUAUUAGUUUUUAAAAUUACAUCAAUACUUCAUAUAAAAUU